rnacentral:rRNA from 1 species
CCCUUAGAUGUUCGGGGCCGCACGCGCGCUACAAUGAGUCGAUCAACGAGCGUUCUUUUUUCCAAGUCCGAGAGGUCGAGGUAAUCCGUUGAACCCGACUCGUGCUAGGGAUAGGGAAUUGUAAUUGUUUCCCUUGAACGAGGAAUUCCCAGUAAGCGCAAGUCAUCAGCUUGCAUUGAUUACGUCCCUGCCCUUUGUACACACCGCCCGUCGCUCCUACCGAUUGAAUGAUCCGAUGAAUAUCAUGGACUGAGAGUGUUAGAGUUUUCGGACUUCUACACUUCUCGGGAAGUGAAGUGAAUCUUAUCAUUUAGAGGAAGGAGAAGUCGUAACA